rnacentral:ribozyme from 1 species
UGCCCAGCAACUGCUAUCCCUACCUCCUCGUGGUACCGGCCGGAAACUAUGAGCAUUGAGCAACCUUAGGGAAGA